CCUACGGGGGGCAGCAGUGGGGAAUAUUGCACAAUGGGGGAAACCCUGAUGCAGCAACGCCGCGUGAGCGAUGAAGGCCUUCGGGUCGUAAAGCUCUGUCCUAAGGGAAGAAUACUGACGGUACCUUAGGAGGAAGCCCCGGCUAACUACGUGCCAGCAGCCGCGGUCAUACGUAGGGGGCUAGCGUUAUCCGGAAUUACUGGGCGUAGAGGGUGCGUAGGCGGACCUUCAAGUCAGAGGUGAAAGGCUACGGCUCAACCGUAGUAAGCCUUGGAAACUGUAGGGCUUGAGGGCUGGAGAGGAGAGUGGAAUUCCCAGUGUAGCGGUGAAAUGCGUAGAUAUUGGGAGGGACACCAGUUGCGAAGGCGGCGCUCUGGAAUGUAACGGACGCUGAGGCAUGAAAGCGUGGGGAGCUAACAGGAUUAGAUACCCCAGUAGUC
rnacentral:rRNA from 1 species